rnacentral:rRNA from 1 species
UGGGGAAUAUUGCACAAUGGGCGCAAGCCUGAUGCAGCCAUGCCGCGUGUGUGAAGAAGGCCUUCGGGUUGUAAAGCACUUUCAGCGGGGAGGAAGGCGUUAAGGUUAAUAACCUUGGCGAUUGACGUUACCCGCAGAAGAAGCACCGGCUAACUCCGUGCCAGCAGCCGCGGUAAUACGGAGGGUGCAAGCGUUAAUCGGAAUUACUGGGCGUAAAGCGCACGCAGGCGGUCUGUCAAGUCGGAUGUGAAAUCCCCGGGCUCAACCUGGGAACUGCAUUCGAAACUAGCAGGCUAGAGUCUUGUAGAGGGGGGUAGAAUUCCAGGUGUAGCGGUGAAAUGCGUAGAGAUCUGGAGGAAUACCGGUGGCGAAGGCGGCCCCCUGGACAAAGACUGACGCUCAGGUGCGAAAGCGUGGGGAGCAAACAGG